AUUGAACGCUGGCGGCAGGCUUAACACAUGCACGUCGAGCGAGCGGCGGACGGGUGAGUAAUGUAUGGGAAACUGCCUGAUGGAGGGGGAUAACUACUGGAAACGGUAGCUAAUACCGCAUACCCUCAGAUGUGCCCAGAUGGGAUUAGCUAGUAGGUGGGGUAAUGGCUCACCUCGGCGACGAUCCCUAGCUGGUCUGAGAGGAUGACCAGCCAAACUGGAAUGGAGACAGGGGCAAGACUCCUAGGGGAGGCAGCAGGGGGGAAUAUGGGACAAUGGGAGCAAGCCUGAUGCAGCCAUGCCGUGGGUGUGAAGAAGGCCUUCGGGUUGUAAAGCACUUUCAGCGAGGAGGCGUUACUCGAAGAAGAAGCACCGGCUAACUCCGUGCCAGCAGCCGCGGUAAUAC
rnacentral:rRNA from 1 species